AUUCCAGCCAUUGAAUUUAACUUGCUUGUACUUUUAAAAAUCAAUUCUGCUUCUUGUAAAAAACCUCCUGAUAUGGCUGACGUUUGCUCUCACCUUGUUUUCCUCAGAGCCCUGGAAACCAACAGGUAUAACCAUAUCACAGCCACAUACUUCCUGCUGGCUGAAAGGAUCCUGAGAGAAAAGCAAGAGAAAGAAAUACAGACCAGAUCUGCAAGCCCGAGCAAUAUCAAGGCCCAGUUUAGGCAGUCAUGGCCAACCAAAAUUGAUGUACCCCAGGACCUUGAGGAUGACCUCACGGCCACUCCUUUGUCCCACACGACUGUCCCUCAGUCUCCUGCUCGGGCUGCUGACAGUGUCCUCAAUGGCCACAGGAGCAAAGGCCUGUGUGACUCAGCUAAGAAAGAUGACCUCCCUGAGUUGGCUGGACCAGCACUCUCUACGGUGCCACCCACAAGCUUAAAACCCACAGCCAGUGGGCGGAAGUGUCUGUUCAGGGUGGAAGAAGAUGAA
rnacentral:sRNA from 1 species